rnacentral:pre_miRNA from 1 species
AACACAAUUCUUUUAUCAACAGUAUCAAUGGAUAUGUUAAGCAAAUAAAUGUACUAUACCUAAGUAUAAUAAUGUAAUUAUCAAGACAAAGAUAGAGAAAGUAGAUAUAUCUCCUUUCUCUAUCUUUGUCUUGAAAAUUAUAUUAUUAUACUUAGGUGUACGUUUAUUUGCGUAACAUAUCCAUUGAUACUGUUGAUGAAAGAAUUGUAUU